AGUGAACGCUGGCGGUAGGCCUAACACAUGCAAGUCGAACGGCAGCACAGUAAGAGCUUGCUCUUACGGGUGGCGAGUGGCGGACGGGUGAGGAAUACAUCGGAAUCUACUUUUUCGUGGGGGAUAACGUAGGGAAAGUUACGAUAAUACCGCAUACGACCUACGGGUGAAAGCAGGGGAUCUUCGGACCUUGCGCGAUUGAAUGAGCCGAUGUCGGAUUAGCUAGUUGGCGGGGUAAAGGCCCACCAAGGCGACGAUCCGUAGCUGGUCUGAGAGGAUGGUCAGCCACACUGGAACUGAGACACGGUCCAGACUCCUACGGGAGGCAGCAGUGGGGAAUAUUGGACAAUGGGCGCAAGCCUGAUCCAGCGAUACCGCGUGGGUGAAGAAGGCCUUCGGGUUGUAAAGCCCUUUUGUUGGGAAAGAAAAGCAGUAGGUUAAUACCCCGCUGUUCUGACGGUACCCAAAGAAUAAGCACCGGCUAACUUCGUG
rnacentral:rRNA from 1 species